GCGAGAGAACUCUGGUUAAGGAACUCGGCAAAAUGACCCCGUAACUUCGGGAGAAGGGGUGCUUUCUUAACGGAAAGCCGCAGUGAAUAGGCCCAAGCGACUGUUUAGCAAAAACACAGGUCUCUGCGAAGCCGUAAGGCGAAGUAUAGGGGCUGACACCUGCCCGGUGCUGGAAGGUUAAGGAGAGGGGUUAGCGCAAGCGAAGCUCUGAACUGAAGCCCCAGUAAACGGCGGCCGUAACUAUAACGGUCCUAAGGUAGCGAAAUUCCUUGUCGGGUAAGUUCCGACCCGCACGAAAGGUGUAACGAUUUGGGCACUGUCUCAACCAGAGACUCGGUGAAAUUAUAGUACCUGUGAAGAUGCAGGUUACCCGCGACAGGACGGAAAGACCCCGUGGAGCUUUACUGUAGCCUGAUAUUGAAUUUUGGUACAGCUUGUACAGGAUAGGCGGGAGCCUUUGAAGCCGGAGCGCUAGCUUCGGUGGAGGCGCUGGUGGGAUACCGCCCUGGCUGUAUUGAAAUUCUAACCUACGGGUCUUAUCGACCCGGGAGACAGUGUCAGGUGGGCAGUUUGACUGGGGCGGUCGCCUCCUAAAAAGUAACGGAGGCGCCCAAAGGUUCCCUCAGAAUGGUUGGAAAUCAUUCGUAGAGUGCAAAGGCAUAAGGGAGCUUGACUGCGAGACCUACAAGUCGAGCAGGGACGAAAGUCGGGCUUAGUGAUCCGGUGGUUCCGCAUGGAAGGGCCAUCGCUCAACGGAUAAAAGCUACCCCGGGGAUAACAGGCUUAUCUCCCCCAAGAGUCCACAUCGACGGGGAGGUUUGGCACCUCGAUGUCGGCUCAUCGCAUCCUGGGGCUGUAGUCGGUCCCAAGGGUUGGGCUGUUCGCCCAUUAAAGCGGUACGCGAGCUGGGUUCAGAACGUCGUGAGACAGUUCGGUCCCUAUCCGUCGUGGGCGUAGGAAAUUUGAGAGGAGCUGUCCUUAGUACGAGAGGACCGGGAUGGACGCACCGCUGGUGUACCAGUUGUUCUGCCAAGGGCAUAGCUGGGUAGCUAUGUGCGGAAGGGAUAAGUGCUGAAAGCAUCUAAGCAUGAAGCCCCCCUCAAGAUGAGAUUUCCCAUAGCGUUAAGCUAGUAAGAUCCCUGAAAGAUGAUCAGGUUGAUAGGUUCGAGGUGGAAGCGUGGUGACACGUGGAGCUGACGAAUACUAAUAGAUCGAGGACUUAACCAU
rnacentral:rRNA from 2 species